GCAUAACGCGAAGAACCUUACCUAGGCUUGACAUGCAUCUCUAAGCGCGUGAAAGCGCGUGACCCUUCGGGGGAUUUGCACAGGUGCUGCAUGGCCGUCGUCAGCUCGUGUCGUGAGAUGUUGGGUUAAGUCCCGCAACGAGCGCAACCCUUGUGAACAGUUGCCAGCACUUAAGGUGGGAACUCUGUUCAGACUGCCCAGAUCAACUGGGAGGAAGGUGGGGACGACGUCAGGUCAGUAUGGCCCUUACGCCUAGGGCUGCACACGUACUACAAUGCCCAGCACAAUGAGAACCGAGACCGCGAGGUAGAGGAAAUCUAAAAAACUGGGCCCAGUUCGGAUUGGAGGCUGCAACUCGCCUCCAUGAAGUUGGAAUCGCUAGUAAUGGCGCAUCAGCUACGGCGCCGUGAAUACGUUCCCGGGUCUUGUACACACCG
rnacentral:rRNA from 1 species